CUUCGAUAGUCUCCGAGCACCAGCAUGAGGAACCUAUCGGCUGUUGUGAUGAUAGUACUGAUGCUGGCUGUUGCCCAAGCGAUGUACCCCAUGUAUCAACAGGACCAAUCCUACGGUGACGGAUACAGUGAAGACGAUGAGCAUCGAUAUGGGUAUGACUACCCUAUCCCGAGAAGGCAGUACCGACCCCGCCCACGCAAUCCUUACUGGCAGCGUUACUUCCGUUACUAGGGCAGGUCCUGAAUCAGAUCCUGGAGACGAAAUCGUUGGGAGAUAAUGUACUCGGAAGGUUAUCUGUGAAGCAAUAAAGGCCGGAGCAAUAAUAAGCAGAACAUUAGCUGUGUUUUAAUCUCAGACAUGUGAAGUAGAGCAGUCAGUUUUACAAUGAACACUCAGUCAUCGUGUACAAGACGUUUGAAAAUUAACUUCAUGAAUUCACGUGAACCUCAUGUACAACUGAAACUUAAACUAUCGCCACCAUAUUUAAUGUAAUUUAACGAAGAAGCAAGCUCCUCUACUAUU